UUAAUUACUCUCGCCAACGGAUAUCUCGGCUCUCGCAUCGAUGAAGAACGUACCGAAAUCCGAUACUUGGUGUGAAUUGCAGAAUCCGAUAUUGGUGUGAAUUGCAGAAUCCCGUGAACCAUCGAGUUUUUGGACGCAAGUUGCGCCCGAAGCCAUCUUGUUGAGGGCACGUCUUCCUGGGCGUCACGU
rnacentral:rRNA from 1 species